CUCUGUCACAUGUCCCUUCCUUGAAGUGGCCGUUUCCUGAUAUGUUGGUUCAGGAUACUCUGGUCUGUUUAAAGUUGAAAUUAGGUGCAAGUGGUCGGCAGGCAUUACAGACCACCUCUCUGUCACUUACAGCAGUAGUGAGUGCCCACCCAGUGCUGCCUUGGGAAUGAGGUGAAUG
rnacentral:lncRNA from 1 species